UGCCUCUCAGGGUCGCACCUGGAGAGUUUCCAGUCCUCUACUAGUCUUGGCUACUGGAGGGAGAGUCAGGUAGAGGCCUACCCAUUCCAUUCCUAGCUUGGGCAUUGCCCAGCGAGUGGAAGACAAUCUGCUACAAGU